rnacentral:lncRNA from 10 species
UGCUCUGAGGUGGAAUAGUUUCAGUUUCAUCCCCUCCAACCCCCGUCCAUGGAAAAAUUGUCUUCUGUGAAACCAGUCUGUAGUGUCAAAAAGGUUGGGGACCUCUAGUCUGCACCUUCCUGAGAUGUUACUUUAUACCCUUUAGACUAAAAAGAAUCUGUAAGUGUGAUAAUGCCUACUGUUGGCAGAGAUGCAUGGUGUUCUCAUACACUAUGGUUGGUGGAAUUAUGGCUUUCUAAAGGGGCAGUUUGGCAUCAUCUGUUAAAAUUUAAUAGGCCCAUACCCUUCAUACCCUUUGGCCCAGAAGCCACACUGUCCUAUGAGAAGCCCUGAGUGAUAGCAUUUCAUGUGUGUGAUGACACACAUGAAAGACAUUUAUGCCACACAAUAUGUAGUGGCAAAUAAAAACAAUGAACAAAAGAAUACCCAUAGCUAAGGAAAUGGAUGCAUAAACAGUGGUACUUCCAUUCCUUGGAGUAUUAGGAGUAUUAAUUGUCAAUAAGAAGAAUGGUUAGAUCUAUACCAGCUGAUUUGGUGAUAUUUCCACAAUAUAUUGUGUUCUCUUUGGCCAAAGGCCAUGCAUGCAGUGUGUACUAUCUAUGGAUGGAAAUAUCCUCCUCUUCAGAAAAAAAGCACCUCCAAAGCCUUUGCACAAUGCACCCUCAAGGACCCUCAGUGAUUACUUAUAAUCUGUGAUUUCAGUAGUCCGUCUCAACAAUGUAAACAUAGCCUGCUCAGCGCCUCCCAAAUGUAUUGGACCACUGUAGGCCCCCAGUGCCCCAUCUUCCUGUUUUGAGUUGCUACCUGGGACGUAUACUUGUCUUGUAGAAGAGGAGGUGCUAAAAUUGGUAGAUAUCAUCAAUGUCAGGAGAUGACAACCUAGUCUUGGAGAUGGAAAUGGCUCCAAUGAUAGCACCCA